AGAUUGAACGCUAGCGGCAUGCCCAACACAUGCAAGUCGAACGGUAACAGGCCCUUCGGGGUGCUGACGAGCGGCGAACGGGUGAGUAAUGCUUCGGAAUCUACCCACGGGUGGGGAAUAACCAACCGAAAGGUUGGCUAAUACCGCAUAAGUCCUACGGGGGAAAGCGGGGGACCGAAAGGCCUCGCGCAGCAGGAUGAGCCGAUGUCCGAUUAGCUGGUUGGUGGGGUAACGGCCUACCAAGGCUACGAUCGGUAGCUGGUCUGAGAGGACGACCAGCCACACUGGGACUGAGACACGGCCCAGACUCCUACGGGAGGCAGC
rnacentral:rRNA from 1 species